UACGUAGGGUGCAAGCGUUGUCCGGAAUUAUUGGGCGUAAAGAGCGUGUAGGCGGCCCGAUAAGUCCGCUGUGAAAGUCCAGGGCUCAACCCUGGGAUGCCGGUGGAUACUGUCGGGCUCGAGUCCGGAAGAGGCGAGUGGAAUUCCUGGUGUAGCGGUGAAAUGCGCAGAUAUCAGGAGGAACACCAAUGGCGAAAGCAGCUCGCUGGGACGUGACUGACGCUGAGACGCGAAAGCGUGGGGAGCAAACAGG
rnacentral:rRNA from 1 species